rnacentral:rRNA from 1 species
GGACGAACGCUGGCGGCGUGCCUAACACAUGCAAGUCGAACGGAGUAGAGAGCUUCGGUUUCUGCUUAGUGGCGAACGGGUGAGUAACGCGUGAGUAACCUGCCUUACAGAGGGGGACAACAGUUGGAAACGACUGCUAAUACCGCAUAAUGUCUAACCGAGGCAUCUCGGAUAGACCAAAGGAGCAAUCCGCUGUAAGAUGGACUCGCGUCCAAUUAGAUAGUUGGUGGGGUAACGGCCCACCAAGUCGACGAUUGGUAGCCGGACUGAGAGGUUGAACGGCCACAUUGGGACUGAGACACGGCCCAGACUCCUACGGGAGGCAGCAGUGGGGGAUAUUGCACAAUGGGGGAAACCCUGAUGCAGCAACGCCGCGUGAAGGAAGAAGGUCUUCGGAUUGUAAACUUCUGUUUUUAGUGAAGAAACAAAUGACGGUAGCUAAAGAGGAAGCCACGGCUAACUACGUG